UAUAAAAGAGAGAGAGAGAGGAAAAAAGAGAAAAAAAGAAAUAAAAAUAAACAAUUGUAUGAGUACAACAAUUUAAAACGACCGAUUAGAUAAGAACAACAUUAUAUUUUCAGAUAAUUAUGUUAUCGCUCUUGAGAGGAAAGAUGGUGGAUACUAUCUAACUAAGUCAUCGAAGCAACUUUGAGGUUUACAUUGCACUCGAUCGGUAUCGGAAGCCAUUUCGAUAACAUUCGAAUAAUGCCCACAUCGAUAGACAUGAAAAGUGCUGACAUUCUUAGGAAGCCUAUACAAUGUAUCCAUCUUGCUUCAAUUCGAUUCUUUGAGUUCUUUAAUAAAUAGCUCAUGUCAAUUGUUACGUAUGAAGGAUUGAGAAGAAAAAUAAUAUAAAUUAAUAAGGAAAUACACACACACACGAAAGAGAGAGAGAAAUUUAAAAAUUCAUGUUUUAUCGAAACUAUUGCAUGGAAAUAUCUUAUAACGAGUGAGAAAGAAAGAUGGAAAAUUUUAAAGUUUGAGCAAAAGCAGGAGUA
rnacentral:lncRNA from 1 species